UACGAAGGGGGCUAGCGUUGCUCGGAAUUACUGGGCGUAAAGCGCACGUAGGCGGCUCUUUAAGUCGGAGGUGAAAUCCUGGAGCUCAACUCCAGAACUGCCUUCGAUACUGUAGAGCUUGAGUUCGGGAGAGGUGAGUGGAACUGCGAGUGUAGAGGUGAAAUGCGUAGAUAUCUGGAGGAAUACCGGUGGCGAAGGCGGCAUCCUGGACCGACAUUGACGCUGAGGAGCGAAAGCUAGGGGAGCAAACGGG
rnacentral:rRNA from 1 species